rnacentral:rRNA from 1 species
GUGGGGAAUAUUGGACAAUGGGCGCAAGCCUGAUCCAGCCAUGCCGCGUGAGUGAUGAAGGCCUUAGGGUUGUAAAGCUCUUUCACCGAUGAAGAUAAUGACGGUAGUCGGAGAAGAAGCCCCGGCUAACUUCGUGCCAGCAGUCGCGGUAAUACGAAGGGGGCUAGCGUUGUUCGGAUUUACUGGGCGUAAAGCGCACGUAGGCGGAUCGUUAAGUCGGGGGUGAAAUCCUGGAGCUCAACUCCAGAACUGCCUUCGAUACUGGCGAUCUUGAGUCCGGAAGAGGUGAGUGGAACUCCUAGUGUAGAGGUGGAAUUCGUAGAUAUUAGGAAGAACACCAGUGGCGAAGGCGGCUCACUGGUCCGGUACUGACGCUGAGGUGCGAAAGCGUGGGGAGCAAACAGGAUUAGAAACCCUAGUAGUCC